GACGAACGCUGGCGGCGUGCCUAAUACAUGCAAGUAGAACGCUGAAGCUUGGUGCUUGCACCGAGCGGAUGAGUUGCGAACGGGUGAGUAACGCGUAGGUAACCUGCCUGGUAGCGGGGGAUAACUAUUGGAAACGAUAGCUAAUACCGCAUAACAGUAGAUAUCGCAUGAUAGCUACUUGAAAGGUGCAAAUGCACCACUACCAGAUGGACCUGCGUUGUAUUAGCUAGUUGGUGAGGUAACGGCUCACCAAGGCAACGAUACAUAGCCGACCUGAGAGGGUGAUCGGCCACACUGGGACUGAGACACGGCCCAGACUCCUACGGGAGGCAGCAGUAGGGAAUCUUCGGCAAUGGACGGAAGUCUGACCGAGCAACGCCGCGUGAGUGAAGAAGGUUUUCGGAUCGUAAAGCUCUGUUGUAAGAGAAGAACGAGUGUGAGAGUGGAAAGUUCACAAUGUGACGGUAGCUUACCAGAAAGGGACGGCUAACUACGUG
rnacentral:rRNA from 1 species